rnacentral:rRNA from 1 species
AUGGGGUGCAGCAGGCGCGGAACCUCCGCAAUACACGAAAGUGUGACGGGGUUACCCAAAGUGUUCAAUUUUGAACUGUGGUAGGUGAGUAAUGUUCCCUACUAGAAAGGAGAGGGCAAGGCUGGUGCCAGCCGCCGCGGUAAAACCAGCUCUUCAAGUGGUCGGGAUAAUUAUUGGGCUUAAAGUGUCCGUAGCCGGUUUAGUAAGUUCCUGGUAAAAUCGGGUAGCUUAACUAUCUAUAUGCUAGGAAUACUACUAUACUAGAGGGCGGGAGAGGUCUGAGGUACUACAGGGGUAGGGGUGAAAUCUUAUAAUCCUUGUUGGACCACCAGUGGCGAAGGCGUCAGACUGGAACGCGCCUGACGGUGAGGGACGAAAGCCAGGGGAGCGAACCGGAUUAGAUACCCGGGUAGUCCUGGCCGUAAACGAUGCAUACUAGGUGAUGGCACGGCCAUGAGCCGUGUCAGUGCCGUAGGGAAACCGUUAAGUGUGCCGCCUGGGAAGUACGGUCGCAAGGCUAAAACUUAAAGGAAUUGGCGGGGGAGCAC